UACGUAGGUGGCAAGCGUUGUCCGGAAUCAUUGGGCGUAAAGCGCGCGUAGGCGGCCCGGUAAGUCCGCUGUGAAAGUCAAAGGCUCAACCUUUGAAUGUCAGCGGAUACUGCCAGGCUAGAGUCCGGAAGAGGCGAGUGGAACUCCUGGUGUAGCGGUGGAAUGCGCAGAUAUCAGGAAGAACACCAACGGCGAAGGCAGCUCGCUAGGACGGUACUGACGCUGAGACGCGAAAGCGUGGGGAGCGAACAGG
rnacentral:rRNA from 1 species